rnacentral:rRNA from 1 species
UACGUAGGGCGCAAGCGUUGUCCGGAAUUAUUGGGCGUAAAGAGCUCGUAGGCGGUUUGUCGCGUCUGCCUGUGGAAAACCUAAGGCUCAACCUUGGGCUUGCAGUGGGUACGGGCAGACUAGAGUGCGGUAGGGGUGACUGGAAUUCCUGGUGUAGCGGUGGAAUGCGCAGAUAUCAGGAGGAACACCGAUGGCGAAGGCGGUUAGCUGGGCAGUUGCUGACAC